rnacentral:lncRNA from 1 species
GGCUUAAUAACUUUAUAACUGAAAUUUUUUAUUAAGUUGAAAAAACAAACAUAUUAAUUACUUAACUAAUUGAAAUUAAGUCCAUUAAAUCAUUAAGUCAAAAAAAUAAACAGCCUCUAAGUAAAAAAAAAAAAAAAGUGAUUCCUUAAGGUACCUAUAUCAAUAAAAAGUAAUGUUAGACAUCUCAACAUUUAAGUCCUCAUUUGAAUCAUAACUGAUGUGACAUUCAUCAAUUGGAUGGUAUAAAUUAUAAAAUUCACCAUCUAAUAAAUAAAUGGCAUAUAUCAUUAGGACUCAAGUUGGAAUUCAAAUGUUGGGAUUCCUAAUAUUAUUGAUCAAUAAAACUUGGGUUAAUGUCACCUGGGUAACACUUGUUUCGACAUUUAUAAAAAAUAGGCAUAUAGGUGAUUCUCUGUUAGGUUAGCCAUUAAAAUUAAUAGAUUUAGGAACUGAAAAUUAAAUCGAUGAUUUUGCCCUCCAUUAGUUGAUUUAUAAUUUGUAUAUACAAGUUUUAUUUCAACAAUACACCACUAAAUUGUAAAGAAGAUGGAAGUUUGAGAUAUGUUUGAGAUGAGAUAGAAUGCUUUUACGAAAUUUUUAUCUUAUUUUGCUAUGGGAAUUUUCUUGGUUUUGCCCAGAUUUAUGUUGCAAUGGUUAUUGAUGAUAAUCAAAUUUGAGUUUAAAAUUUUGUGUAAGAAAAGACAAUUGUUGUCAUCUUUUCUCAAUAAAACUUUGCAUAUAAAAAUUAUUUCUCUAUAUAAAUUAUAAAUCAACCGAUGAGGGAUAAAAUAAUUUUCAGUACUCAUAACUAUUAGUUUUAAUGGCAAACUUAACGGAGCGUCACCUAUAUGUUUAUUUUAAAAAUAUUUAUCAUCUUUUUUAUAUGCGCCGAAACAAGUGACACCCAAGUGAUAUUAACUCAUAAAAACUUUCAUUAUUAUAAAUUAAAGAUACUCUCAAUGGUUUAUACGUAGUUCUUGUCAUAUCCCACUUUGAAUUUUCCACAGUUGAUUACUUGUCGAAAAUUGAUGCCAAAUUCAUAUUUCUAACAAUAUUCUUUGAAAUAAUACCAAGUUCUCGUUUCUUCAAGAAUUGCGUUAAUGGAAAUAAGCUUGGCUGUGAGGGACCUUUCACAUCCUGUAAGACCAUCAACUCAAGACUAUUACAAAUUUGCGACAGUUGAAAGAUUGAUGCCCAAAUUCACUUUCUUCUCUUGGAUUCUCUUUGGCUCGCUGACACAAAUUUGGGAACUCAGAUCAACUCGUUAUCAAUCCAAUAUCAUAGAUUCGAAUAAAUUAAGUUAAAAAAGUUGUGGGAAUGAUACAAAGUUAGGUGUGUAUGGAUCACUUAAUAAUUUAGACACAGAUUGGAUCUUGCGAAGAGUCCCGACGGGAUAGAGAAAUUGUUUAUUUAAUGCAUAAUAUCUCAUCAACAUAUUCUUUAUUCAUUGUUGGUCAUAAAAUCCAAAACCCCUUUGUGGAGAAGGAUUUCAUUAAUCCGUGGGAUGUCUAGUGGAAGGUCAAAUCGUAAGCUGCUUUCUCGAAGUAUAAUUCUUGGCUAUAUGCUCCUAGAAAAGUUGUCACAAAGGUGGAUAAUAUCAUCUAUCAAUACCUAAUUGAACUGUACAUGCUACCAAAAUUAUUUCUCAUAAAACAAUCACUUUGCCCGUGAGCUAAUUCUUUUUGGAUUCUAAUCCAAAAACUUCAGAUUUUAUAAAUAGUUGUAAUUGAUAAAUUCAUUAACUUUUCUGUUGGGGCAAAAAAAAAAUCAUUGGCUUUGUUGGUUGUAUGCAUUAUUGCAGUCGAGAAGAUAGAUAUUUACCUUAUAUUUAUUACUUUUUGGAGUUUGAUUUAGGAAGAGUCUUUGUUUUGCACUCCAAGACCAAAAGCAUUAGAAUUUUGGACCAAGUUCUUGCCUUCGCUGGUUGCUGCAACUUCAGUUUUUGUUUACGGUUUUGUGGAAGCAUUUUGGAAGCAAAUGCGUUAGAAAAUAAGGGAUCAGUUUUGGAAUAUGAGAGGAUCUGUUGAGUAAAAUAAAUAUUUCUAAUUUUAGUGAUGGAUGUACAAAGAAAAUGAUUUUAAAGCGUGAAAAUUUUGUUUCAAAUAGGCUCUUCCUUUUAUUUUAGUAGGGGUGAUAUAUUGAUAAGAAAAUAAAUAGUGGUAGUGGUGGUGAUAAUAAUGAUAAACUUAUUGUUGAUGAAGUAACGGCGGUGAUGGUUAGAUAGAGGGGGAGAGAUAUAAAA